CCCAUAAAAGUCACCUGUGUUUCUAGUAGCCAGAUAGAAUCACUGUUAACGUUUGGUGCUCACCUUCUAGACUUCUGUAGUGAUCCAUUGAUGCGUGCAUUCUAUCAUCCAUCCAUCUGUCUUUUCCAAAGUGUGGUCCCAGGACACCAGUCUCCUGAUUAAACAAGUUUAGAAAAUGGGUCACCCUAGCACCUCCUCUUGGAGAGUCAUCAUGCACAUUAGUGUAUUCAAAGAUUUGGGAAAUUUAGUUGCAAAAAAACUCAUUUCACUGUGAUUAAUCUAGAGUUUUUUCAAUGUACUUGAACAUGAAUCCUUCUUUUCUAUAACUCAAGGAACUAAUGCAAUGUUUCAUGGAAGCCAAGGAAGCUUCAAGAAUACUUGAUCUAUGUCUUCGUAUUUAGUCUAUAUAGUCAUACUAGACAGAUAGAUGCCUGAAUGGAUUCUAUGAUGUAAAUAUCUCUCUAUAUCAAUUACAUACUCCUAAGACAUAGUUUUUAAUGGCUGCCUAGAAUUCUAUUGUAUAAGUGUCCCAUGGCUCCUAGAAUCAAUUACCCUGUUGCUGGGAGUUUAGAUUUUCCUCAUUUUUGGCUCUCACAGUGAACGUUAUUUUUACUAUUGCUAAUUCAGGCCCACCUCCUAAAACAUCUCCUCACACGAAGUUUGCUUUUCCUGGGGAGUAGAAUCUGCAUGGAUUCUCCAUGAGUGGUUUUUUCACCUCUAGUUUAAGAGACAUGUUAGUCAGGAAUACUCUGGAAAGAGAGAAAGCACAAAUGGUGAGAGUAAAGGGAUAGAAAGGAGGAGUGGUUUUGCUGCUGAAUUGGAUUUAAAAGUAUUUUUAAAAAUUUCUUAAUCUUGUGUGUCUGUGGCCAGAAUUCCGGCCUAGCUCCUGGCUUCUCCAGGAGGGGCCUGGUGUUGUGGGGUGCUGAGCUUAGAUUUUCUAGGGUUUGUAGGUCUGGAGGCUUGAGCAAGGGUUAGGAGACUCACGGAACGUGGGAGAAAUCUGUGAGUAGUAUGGAAUCAACCUUUCUAUGAGCACUGACCUCAUUCUUCUCGUGUGGCAGAGGCACCACUGGCGUCUGGAGGGAUACCAGGUGGCGCACCAGAUGAUUUUUAGGUGGCUUUCUAUGGGCAUUGGUCACUUGAUGAGAACGUCAUCCCCUUCUCAAUUCUUGUUCGGUCCUCCUGACGUUUUUUAAGGAGCCAGUCUCAGUUUGGUGCUGAGAUAGCUUUGACACCGGACAUUUUCUAACUGCCUUUUUUGACAAGGAGAGAACAGACUUCAAGGUCAGAGACCUGGCAGGCUAAAAUUUAGUCCCAUUGUUUUGUUUUCAGUGUAUUCAUUUUUAAAAUUAUCUAGUUACCUCCUGGUUAUGACAAGAGAUGUUAAUAAGGUUUCUUUAAGUACAAACGUACAGCCAGCCCUUCUUGCCUAGUGGUUAAAAUUCAACAUGCUCUGCUUUGGCAGCCCGGGUUCGGUUCCUGGGCACGGAACCACAGCACUUGUCCAUCAGUAGCCAUGCUGUGGCAGUGGAUCACAGAGAAAAACCAGAAGAACCUACAACUAUGCAUAACUAUGUACUGGUGGCUUUGGGGGGAUGAGAGGAAGGAAGGAAAAAGGAGGAAGAUUAGCAACAGAUGUUAGCUUAAGGAAUCUCCUGCAAAAAAAAAAAAAAAAAAUUCUUAAAAGCAUGAGAAACCUGUUGGCUUGCAUGACCACCCAGGGGUGCAAAACUUUCUGUUAAAAAAUAAAUAAAUAGGGGCUGGCCUGGUGGCAUAAGGGGUUAAGUUCGUGUGCUCUGCUUCGGUGGCCCAGGGUUUGCAGGUGUGGAUCCCGGGCACAGACCUACACACUGUUCAUCAAGCCAUGCUGUGCUGGCAUCCCACAUACAAAAUGGAGGAAGAUUGGUACAGAUGUUAGCUUGGUGACAAUCUUCCUCAAGCAAGAAGAGGAAGAUUGGCAACAGAUGUUAGCUCAGGGCCAAUUUUCCUCACCAAAAAAUAAAUAAAUAAACAUAAAUAAGGCAGAAAAAGUAAGUCGGUAUUAAGAAAAAUUAUAAGUAAAUGAGAGUAUAAGUGAUACUCAGAUAUGGCAAAAAAUCCAGACAUGAUGCAAGUAACUGAAAUUUGGGGAAAAGUGAGUUAACUCAGGUCUCAUGUCACUGGCCAGUGUGAGCUCUUGAUAACUGUAUCUUUGUAUGACUAUCAUUCAUGAAUCCCUUUUGGGUCUCAGUUUGGUUUUCUUUCUUCUUUCUCCUCUGCUUUCAACUGCCUGUGGGAGCCAAGGAAGACUUCACACAGUAGGGACGUUUAGUUGAGUCUUAAAAGAGCUCCCCUGAGACCAGGCUUUCAGCUGAGAGAGGAGACAAAAGAAAGAUGUCCUCUUGGAGGAAGGCAGUGAGGAGUGUCAUAGGUCACUUUCUGGGAUGCGCAGGAUCAGAUAACAGACACUCAGCUGGAAGAUGAUGAGGACUGGGGAUUCCAAAGGUGGUUGGGGGUCAAGUUCGUUCAUAAUCUCCACGCACGCCCUGCCCAAGUCACCUCAUACACAAAUAAGCCAAGCAAAAAGACUGCUUCCCAAGCAAACGCAGCUUCAGCUCCCCGGAACAGUCAUGCCAGUGCACUCUCCUUACAACAGAAGUCCUGCUCAGCCUGUGGUGUUAUAGCUCCCAGCCAGGUGCCCUCUGAACCACCCCCGUAUAGGAGUUCUGGAGCCACCACUGGAGGGUGAUUAUGAUUUGAACUCAUUGAUUCUACGAGGAACAUGAGGAAAAGGGCAAAACCACUUACUGGCAUUGGCUCUAACAGCGUCUUGAAUUAUACGGGCGCUGGCUUACAAUGAUUUGGUGCCAGGUCCUGGGGAGAGCGGGCUGCAUAGGAAGCCGGUCCCCAGGCUUGAGGAGCCCUCUCGGAGUCUAAGCGGGUCACACAGGCACAUAGUCAAGAACAAAACCCAAUCAAAUUGGGCUGUGAGGGGGCCCCCAGCCUGGUGCUGUGGAAGUCAGAGGCGGCUGUUACUAAUUUUGAUUGGGGCGUGGGUCAGGAAGGAAAGCGAAGAUAAGGAGCAAUCAGGAUUUCAACAUUGAUUUUGACCCCUAACAGUGGGCUCAGACCACCCCCCGCCCCUCCGGGGGAGGUGUUCUUACUUCAGGCACAUGGUCGUUGCUGAAGAAACAUUUGUGAGCAUUUGGAUGGAUGAAUAAAUGAACAUCUCCAUGAAGAAACUGGGACUCAGAGAAGAAAUAACUUGCCUGAGAUCACACAGUUCAUAAAUAGCAAAGCUAAAAUUCGGACCUACGAAGCUUAUUCUUUUUCUCUCGCAACACAGUAUUUGCUGGGUGAUGGUGCGGAAAGAGCCAGAAACCACAGACAGCCAUGAGGAGAACAUGAUAGGAGCCAACCAAGACCGGGAUUUCAGGAGAGAAGGAAUAAGCCCUUGCUCAUAGAUGUCUGUUUCUUUUUUAUAUUGGCAAGUUCACAUCAGCCAGGGAGCACAUGGCUAACUUGUAAUAAUAUUCGUCUUUAAGAAAACAAAACCGAAAAAACUAUGGUACUCUAUCUUCACUCUCUGAUAUCUAACCGGUAGCUCUGGUGCUAGAGUCUGAAUUAGCCCUGCGAAAAUAUUCUCUUUUCAGCCCACCUUGUUUGGAUAUUUGAUUCAGAAACAAUUAAUGAAGUCCAUUUGCCAUAUGGGUAAGUGAACUCAUUUUAAGUAGGUGUUCUGCAUCCCUGCGGCUCCAGGAGCUGUUGUCAUAGUAACGUUUCCCCCCUUGACUUGCAGAAGGCACAGUCCAUGGAACCAGUGGCAAUGUAGGUCAGGAGUGAAAAGGGGUUUGGUGGCUUCGCCUCAGUGCCCAGUUUGGCACAGCCAGGGAUUGUUAAUGCUGGGGGCUCCAGAGGGGCUCGCCCUCCUCAGGAUGUUCUCUGCUAGGACUGAGUCAGAAGAGGAGAUGCAGAGGAGGGGGGCCAACAGGAGGCACGGAAACGGCAAGGAGAGGCUGGCAGGAGCUGCACGCCUGCAUGGAGAUUCAGAACCCCUGAGAGCCCAGGAUGACCUGGGACAGGUCACUGGCUGAGGGCGGAGGAUGUGGAGCGUUGGGGGCUUACUAUCCCUGCUGCCUGGUGGGAAUUGCGCCCCCUGCAGUCCAGACCCAUUCAGAGUUGGUUUAAGAAGGCCCACGUCAAUCAUCAAUAUAACAGUUUUAGCUGCAGGAGAGGUCAGCUUUACAUUCAGCCUGGAAAUGUGUUUAAGAAGCUUUUGUUUACUCAUCCAUUCAUGUAGCAAACAUUUACUGGCCCGUUUUCUGCACCAGGUACCGUGCUGGCCAGUGCUGGCUUCAUGGGUGCGCCGCCCUUGCCCUUGCACAGGACCCCAUGCUCGGAAGGACUUUGAGCUUGGUUUAAUGCUCUGUUGCCGUCUUGAAAUUCUUAAUCAUUUUUGAACCAGGGCCCCACGUUUUCAUUUUGUACUGGGCUCCGCACUGGGGGUACAGUGUUCAGCCAAGCCAGACACACUCUCUGCCUUCCUGAAACUUGUGGCACAGCAGGAGAGACAGACACAAUCAUGACACAAAUCAAUGUGGAAUUACAACUGGGAGCCGUGCCAUGAGGGACGGGUCUGUAAUGUCUUGCGAGAAGAGCCUUGUACAGCUGUAUGGCUUCACCUCACUGUAUUCAGAAUAGUGGAGAUGGAUCAAAUUACGGCAGAGAGGGUUCAAGUUAGUGUUGCUGAACUAAGUGGUUGGGAGCGCAAGGCAGGCUUCCGAGAGAAGAGGGCAAGUUUCCCCCUCAAGGUUGUAAAGAUCAGGAGGAUACCCACCUGUCAGGGCAGGUGCUUUGGGGGCAAACUUUUAUCUUUCUCUCUCUUCUAAAGGGUUUUUUCUUUUGACUUUGGUGUAAUUUCAGACCUACAGAAAAGUUGAAAGAAUAAUAC
ensembl:lncRNA